rnacentral:rRNA from 1 species
ACCGGCGCACGGGUGAGUAACACGUAUCCAACCUGCCGAUGACUCGGGGAUAGCCUUUCGAAAGAAAGAUUAAUACCCGAUGGCAUAGUUCUUCCGCAUGGUAGAACUAUUAAAGAAUUUCGGUCAUCGAUGGGGAUGCGUUCCAUUAGGUUGUUGGCGGGGUAACGGCCCACCAAGCCUUCGAUGGAUAGGGGUUCUGAGAGGAAGGUCCCCCACAUUGGAACUGAGACACGGUCCAAACUCCUACGGGAGGCAGCAGUGAGGAAUAUUGGUCAAUGGACGAGAGUCUGAACCAGCCAAGUAGCGUGAAGGAUGACUGCCCUAUGGGUUGUAAACUUCUUUUAUACGGGAAUAAAGUGAGGCACGCGUGCCUUUUUGUAUGUACCGUAUGAAUAAGGAUCGGCUAACUCCGUGCCAGCAGCCGCGGUAAUACGGAGGAUCCGAGCGUUAUCCGGAUUUAUUGGGUUUAAAAGGAGCGUAGGCGGACGCUUAAGUCAGUUGUGAAAGUUUGCGGCUCAACCGUAAAAUUGCAGUUGAUACUGGGUGUCUUGAGUACAGUAGAGGCAGGCGGAAUUCGUGGUGUAGCGGUGAAAUGCUUAGAUAUCACGAAGAACUCCGAUUGCGAAGGCAGCCUGCUGGACUGUAACUGACGCUGAUGCUCGAAAGUGUGGGUAUCAAACAGGAUUAGAUACCCUGGUAGUCCACACAGUAAACGAUGAAUACUCGCUGUUUGCGAUAUACAGUAAGCGGCCAAGCGAAAGCGUUAAGUAUUCCACCUGGGGAG